UAAAAAACUUUUCACAGAGGAAAGAAAUCCCUGCUGAAGCACCAUCCAGCUGCUCAGCACUUACCUGUCUUCCUCCUACAUUCUCUGGAUCUCAGGGUGCAUCUGCUUCUCAUUAGGAAGAGACAUGGAGAAGGACACUUAAAUUUUCCCCAAGGGCAGCUUACCAAAAUAUUGAAAUGUCACUCUUUGCUUGGCAAGGUGGCCAGAAGUUAGAAUUGAUGAUCACUACCACCAAUGUUCAAGACAAGAGUCAUCAAAGUCCAGUGGCAAGACAAAAUGUCAUGAUGAUUGCUGAUGGCCUGGGAGGCAAUAAAUUACCUUGGCGUCUUCAAAGUCUGACCAAGCUCUAAGAACUCCACAGAACCUACUUUGACCAUCUUCAUGGCUGUUGAAACAAAUUGUUCUCAUCUGCCUAUUCUGCUGGGAAAAGUCUUCACAUGCUUGGAAUAAACAUUCCCCCUACUCAUCAAUGGGUUUGAGGCCAAUGUAAGGAUAAACUUUGGAGUUAUCCACAAGUGCCUUGGGCAGCUCCUCAUUUGAGGUCCUUGAGCAAGAGCUGAAUGACCACUUUGGGGGGGGAUGCUAUUCUUAUUGAGAUAUGAGUUGGACCAUCUGGACUUUGAAGUGCCUUCCAACUCUGGGACUCUGAUUCCAUGAAGGUGCAGCCCUGGAUAUUUAUAUUGGUCUUCUUCAGUUAUAUGAAUAGACCGUAUAAGGAUAUAAAAGUAACAUAAGACACAAAUCUUGCCCUUGGGGAGCUUAUAUUCUAAUCGGGACAGCAGAGAAAACAAAGAAUAAAUGACCAAUUGCAAAGCAACACAUCUAUAACUAUAGAAUAAAAUUCAAAUAAAUACAUACAGUGAAAUGAUAAGUGAACUUAAAGUCAGGAAGAUCUAAGUUCAAAUCCCAUUUCCAAUGUUCACUAGUUGUACAACCAUGGGAAGUUACUUAACCCUCUGAAUCUGUUAACUUGUCUGGAAAACAAAGAAAAUAGUAUCUCUAGUGCCUACCUCAUAGGGCUAUUUUGAGGAUCAAAUGAGAUCAAGCAUGAAUAGUACUUUUUAAACCAUAAUGAGUCAUGUAGCUAUCUACUACUUUUGCUAAUAAUAAUUCCAAAAAUUAUUUCAGUGAGCCUACCUCCCAAGAAUAUGAACUUAUAUCCUGAUACUUUUAAUCAAUUAGCAAAAAGUUACUUUAUUCAUUUGUGCAACCAUCCAUAGAUCAUUAAAUAUAGAAGAUAGAAUAGAAAAUUGGUCUGAGUCCAUUUUUAUCUUAAUUCCAUCAAAAAUGAUAUAAAUAAGAUCAAUAUUGUUAUUGCUAGAUAAUGAUGAUGAUGAUGAUUAUGAGUCUUGCCUCUGAAAUACAAUUGGUCCCAGGGCAAGUCACUUACCCUUGCAGUGUCCCAGCCAACUCUAUAAGAUCAUAGGUGGUAGAAAACUUUUUAAUCUACUUUGGUAAAAAGAGUUUUCUCACCAGGAGUUCCCUACACUGAUGAAAACACAAGUCAAGACAAAAAUUAUUAUUGUUGUUGUUAUUAAUUCCUAAUGAACUUUGGACAAGGUAGGGAUCAGAACUAGAUAAAGGUUUAAUUAAUACAUAUCAUUUAUACAAAGUCACUUUAGUACAGACUCCAAUAAGAAGAUGGCACUUUCAAAGAAAUAUAAAGUUUGUCAAAGAGAAACUCAGACAGUAAAAAAAGCUCAUCUACAGGAAAAAUAAAAUUACAAAGCCCUCUUAAUUUUUGUACAGAAUUUUUAAAUAUUAGUCCAAGUGAAUUUUAAGAAUCUAAUAAAUACUGAACAAAUCAAUUAAUUAUAAAAGAAACAAGGAUUUCAAUGUUUCUCCAUUUAUAACAUUUAUUAAGUUUCCUUUGAUGAACAAUUUGAGAACUGUAUUUGUUUUCCAUGUUUCACAGGAUUCUAGUAUACUUAUUUAAAAACCAGUCUGAACUUUAUGAUUAUAAAAAAAAGCAAAAGGAAUUGUUAAUAUUGUAUAGCAAUGAAGGACUCAUGUGAGUGAUGGGGAAGCCAUUUAGGCACUGGCAGAAUUCAUACACAGAUCUGAAGUGAAUUUAUUCAAGGAUCUGUAGUAAGGGACUCUGUUACAAAAUUCUUUUGAGAUCUACCUAUUCAAAGAAGCACUAGCAUUUGCUAUUUGUACAUAGAAAUAUGUGACAAAUCAAAGAGGUAAUAAAAAAAACAUAACACAGUUAAAAUAGUGAAAUUUACCUCAGAACUCAAUAGACAUGAGCCCAAGUACCUGCCAAGAAAGUAAAACCCUGGAUCGCCUAAAUAGCAAGAGACUGGAUACUCAUCUCACUGUCAAUGUCCUAACACACGCUAAGACUAAACAGUACAAAUAUGAAAUAACAUAAACAUGAAACAAAAUCAAUCUAAAAAUGUACUUUGAAGAGGCAAUUUUCAAUUCCUGACUCCAUCACAUAAUGACUGUGUGAAAAUGGUCAAGUCAUGAAGCAGAGGUUUGUGGACCACUUGUAAGGGAUGGCAUAAAAGUGGGAUCCAUGUUUAAGGUAAUGAUUAGAGCAGAUGAUCAUUUUUCACUUCAAGAUUCUAUGACUCAUGUCCCUGAGCAUCAAUUGCCACAUUCGAAGUAUAACAAUACUCAUAUUGCUCAUCUCACAGGGAUGUUAGGAGAAUGGCAUGAGAGAAUGUUUGUCCCAGGGCAUCCUGUUUAAAAUGUGUUUUUUAUAUUUAUGUGUCUGUGUAUGUACAUAUAGAUAUAUAUAUAGAUAGAUAGAUAGA